UCGUCGUGGAAACUUUACGCUUACCAUGGAGACGUUCGCGUGGUCUUAAACCCCGACGUCAAACCUGUUACUCUUCGCGCCCCACGCCUCGACGCGUACAGUGGUAGAAACCUCAUUACUCCCUCGGCCUCCACAGCACGCCACACACUAGCUUUCAGGCUCUGUCAAUUUGCUUAUAGGCUUUAUUUGCUAUCUUUUCGUAUCCGUAAGUUAGACCGUACAACAAGUUCUAUCGACAUCCAAGGAGCUGACAUGGACCCAGAUAGCUACGUUGAAGCCGCGGAAAAUCAUAUGGCGCAAGGCAAGACAUAA
rnacentral:lncRNA from 1 species